rnacentral:misc_RNA from 1 species
GAAAUUGGGUCUGGCGUUCGGGUCCUCUUUCCAGCAAGAAGUCAGAAUCAUCGCAAGUUCAUCAGGAAGUCCAUCUGCGCUCGGCCUGGCAUUUUUGAAAGCGGCUGCGUAUGCUGCUUGCAAGUUGGACAUUCCUUCGAAGGGAAGUCGGUUGUGUAGGAGCUCCCACAGCACUAUUGCAAAACUAUAAACGUCUACUUUAUGGUUGUAGUGUUUCUUUUCUCCAUGUCUCAGUGUGACGGUGCUAUACAACUCGGGAGCCAUCCAUCGGUAUGUCCCUGUUUCGGCAGUCAUCAUCUCGGUCAGUGUCUCCUCCCUUGCCAAACCAAGGUCGACAAGUUUCACAGUUCGGUGGUCUGCGGUCAAAAGCAUGUUCUCGGGCUUCAGAUCACGAUGAAUGAUCCCAUGUGAAUGCAAACACUCCAUAGCCCGCGAAAUAUCCAGCGCAAACCCCACCGCCACCCGAGGAUCCAAGCUCUGCGGUCUCAGGUUAAGCAUGUACUUGCGCAGCGAUCCCCCGAGCAGCAGUUCGGUCACCACCACCAUGACAGGCUCCUUACAAGCCCCGAUGAACUUAACCAAAUUCUUAUGCUGCACCCUUGACAGCAUCGCCACCUCCCUCAAAAACCUCUCCUCCCUCUUCUCCACCUCCUCCGGGGUCUCCCCCCGGUGGACAACCUUGAUAGCGACAUUC